UGCAGACAGUGGUUCUCUGGUCCUUACAGGAUUCCUCCCAGCUUUUACUGAGUCAAAAGUUCCAUUCUCUUUUUAGCAGCAGGAAGGGAAAAAAAAAUAUCACAGUGACUCAAAACAAAGCAAUUUAACUGUGCUUCAUUAGUGGCGUGUUUUGAGCCCACAGCACUGAAGAUAUCUGGGCUGUUCCACAUCCAGAACUGUCAUCAGGGCUGAUCUUGGCCUUGUCAUUUUGGUUUCAGAAUCACCUUGCGGUGACAAAUGACACAUUACUUUGAGUCCUAAUUUUAGAUUAAGGAAUAACCACAAACUCACUAAAUUAAAAAGAAGUACCCUAUUGGUUUGGGUGAGGAGUUAAAAUUUCUCAGCUAGGUAGGUGGUGGGAUAAAGGUUAGGCUAAAAUGAAAAUUAUCAACAUCAACUCAUAAAAAGCAUGGGUGUGUGUAUUAUUAUUAUCAUCUUAUAAUUCUACCUCUAAAGUGGCCUAACAGCAACUUUCAUACUCAGAAGAAAUGACCAGAUGCGCCCCUGAGAAUUUGUCCUUAAUUUUCACUAAAAAGGAUUUUUAUCUCAAAACACAUCACCCCACAGUCUCAUCUCGAGGCCCCGACUGCUGCAUUAAUGACAAUUAAGCCCCAGGGGAAAUAAUAACCUCACUGGGGGUUCACCGGAGCUGGAAAGGAAGGCAGAGCAAGUCAAGCUGCCCACGGGUUCCCCACCACCACCCCGAGAAACCCACACCUGGGGCGCCCCAGUCUGUGCUCCUAAUGCUGCUUCCUCCGUUAGGGAAAGAAGAUUCCAGGAGGCCUUCAGGCUAGUGGGCAUUACGGCCCUCUUGGCACCUGCCCUUGCUUGGGGGAAAGGCAGCCUGGGAAGAAGGAAAGGGUGGUGAAGGGAGAUAUUGCAGACGAAGAAAACCUCGAAGAGACAGAACUUGACUUGGACUAGGCGUUUAGCUGAGCUUAGUGUGGUGAAUAUUUGGACAGUGUUACUACCUGGAGGUCAGCUAGGAGCCCUCCGCCUUCCUGCCAAGACUUCCGAGCUGAGACUCCACCAUGGAACUAGGACCAGCGGACACCUGGUAACCGCUGUGAAACGUCACCAGUAGAUGUUAAACAGGUGCU